rnacentral:rRNA from 1 species
GAUACCACCCUUGUAGUACUGGGACUCUAAACAUAGGCCAUGAAUCUGGUCUUGGGACACUGUCAGGUGGGCAGUUUGACUGGGGCGGUCGCCUCCCAAAAGGUAACGGAGGCGCUCAAAGGUUCUCUCAGUACGGUCGGAAAUCGUACGUAGAGUGUAAAGGCAAAAGAGAGCUGGAUUGCAAGACAUACAGGUCGAGCAAGGAUGAAAAUCGGACUUAGUGAUCCGGUGGUUCUGCGUGGAAGGGCCAUCGCUCAACGGAUAAAAGCUACCCUGGGGAUAACAGGCUUAUCUCCCCCAAGAGUCCACAUCGACGGGGAGGUUUGGCACCUCGAUGUCGGCUCAUCACAUCCUGGGGCUGUAGUAGGUCCCAAGGGUUGGGCUGUUCGCCCAUUAAAGUGGUACGCGAGCUGGGUUCAGAACGUCGUGAGACAGUUCGGUCCCUAUCCGUCGCAGGCGUAGGAAAUUUGAGAAGACCUGUCCUUAGUACGAGAGGACCGGGAUGGACGUACCUCUGGUGUACCAGUUGU